rnacentral:rRNA from 1 species
GUGAACGCUGGCGGUAGGCCUAACACAUGCCAGUCGAACGGCAGCACAGUAAGAGCUUGCUCUUACGGGUGGCGAGUGGCGGACGGGUGAGGAAUACAUCGGAAUCUACUUUUUCGUGGGGGAUAACGUAGGGAAACUUACGCUAAUACCGCAUACGACCUACGGGUGAAAGCAGGGGAUCUUCGGACCUUGCGCGAUUGAAUGAGCCGAUGUCGGAGUAGCUAGUUGGCGGGGUAAAGGCCCACCAAGGCGACGAUCCGUAGCUGGUCUGAGAGGAUGAUCAGCCACACUGGAACUGAGACACGGUCCAGACUCCUACGGGAGGCAGCAGUGGGGAAUAUUGGACAAUGGGCGCAAGCCUGAUCCAGCCAUACCGCGUGGGUGAAGAAGGCCUUCGGGUUGUAAAGCCCUUUUGUUGGGAAAGAAAAGCAGCAGGUUAAUACCCCGCUGUUCUGACGGUACCCAAAGAAUAAGCACCGGCUAACUUCGUG